rnacentral:rRNA from 1 species
GACGAACGCUGGCGGCGUGCUUAACACAUGCAAGUCGAACGAAGUGGCGAACGGGUGAGUAACGCGUAGUCAACCUGCCCUUCAGGGGGGGACAACAGUUGGAAACGACUGCUAAUACCGCAUACUGAAGGAGGAGUAUGCGUCGGAAUAGCUGGUUGGAGGGGUAACGGCCCACCAAGGCGAUGAUCAGUAGCCGGUUCUGGAGGGUGAACGGCCAACUUGGGACUUGGACACGGCCCAGACUCCUACGGGAGGCAGCAGUGGGGAAUCUUCCGCAAUGGAGGGAAGUCUGACGGAGCAACGCCGCGUGAGUGAUGACGGGCUUCGGGGUGUAAAGCUCUGUUAAUCGGGACGCGGUACCGGAAUAGAAAGCAACGGCUAACUACGUGCCAGCCGCCGCGGUAAUAC